rnacentral:rRNA from 1 species
AUGGGAGUCAUGCAUGGGUGGUUUUGGGAUUCAACUAAGGAUUUGUCAAGGCUUUCUGGUUUUGGUGUCACAUUAUCAAGUCCAUCCAACGAUCUACCUUUCAAACAAGAAGAGCAUUCACCAGGGGAGCUAUUAUUGUAUCUAUGUUCAAACCUGGAGUCGCCAGAGGCCAUUAUUGAAAUGUAUUCAAUGCCCAACGGAGAGCAAGAGCAAGCUCUGGAAGGUGAGGCGAGUGGCGGAGACAGUGGCGAGUGGACUUCCGACGGUGAAGGGGAUGGAGGAAGCAACGACUCAAGCGAUGGAGAAGAAGUCGAGUCGCCCCCUCGCAGGGAGAGGCGAUCCAAGCUUGACCAAGAACGACCUAGCGCCCGCAAAAAGGCAACUGCUCAGGCUGGUCAGUCUUCGAAGCUUCCUCGGAUCUCUUCACCAACCCCGACUGAGAAGGCGCCAAAGCACCCCAAAGUUGCAGAGCCGAAGACUCGGAAGGCGUUGCAAAGAUCAAGAUUGAUAUCCCCGUCGCUUCCGCCGCUGCCACUUCCGGGACCUCAGCUUACAGGGACAAUGAUGAGGUGA